GACGAACGCUGGCGGCGUGCUUAACACAUGCAAGUGGAGCGACGAAACCGGGCUUGCCCGGUGGCAGAGCCGCGAACGGGUGAGUAACACGUGGGUAACCUGCCCCGAUGAUUGGGACAACUCCGGGAAACCGGAGCUAAUACCAAAUGUGUUCACAUUCCUGAAGGGGUGUGAGGAAAGGAAGCUUCGGCCUCCGCAUCGGGAUGGGCCCGCGGCCCAUUAGCUUGUUGGUGGGGUAACGGCCUACCAAGGCGACGAUGGGUAGCUGGUCUGAGAGGACGAUCAGCCACACUGGGACUGAGGCACGGCCCAGACUCCUACGGGAGGCAGCAGUGGGGAAUCUUGCGCAACGCGCGAAAGCGUGACGCAGCAACGCCGCGUGCGGGAAGACGGCCUUCGGGUUGUAAACCGCUUUCAGUUGGGACGAAGCUUCGCCGGUGAAUAGCCGGCUGGAGUGACGGUACCUUCACAAGAAGCACCAGCUAACUACGUGCCAGCCGCCGCGGUAA
rnacentral:rRNA from 1 species